rnacentral:sRNA from 1 species
GCUGGGCAAGGUGGUGCUUACCUGUAAUCCCAGCAACUCAGGAGUCUGAGGCAGGAGGAUCUCAGAUUUGAGGCCAGUCUAGGCAAUAUAGUAAGACCCUGUCUCAA